rnacentral:rRNA from 1 species
AGUGAACGCUGGCGGUAGGCCUAACACAUGCAAGUCGAACGGCAGCACAGUAAGAGCUUGCUCUUACGGGUGGCGAGUGGCGGACGGGUGAGGAAUACAUCGGAAUCUACUUUUUCGUGGGGGAUAACGUAGGGAAACUUACGCUAAUACCGCAUACGACCUACGGGUGAAAGCAGGGGAUCUUCGGACCUUGCGCGAUUGAAUGAGCCGAUGUCGGAUUAGCUAGUUGGCGGGGUAAAGGCCCACCAAGGCGACGAUCCGUAGCUGGUCUGAGAGGAUGAUCAGCUAAACUGGAACUGAGACACGGUCCAGACUCCUACGGGAGGCAGCAGUGGGGAAUAUUGGACAAUGGGCGCAAGCCUGAUCCAGCCAUACCGCGUGGGUGAAGAAGGCCUUCGGGUUGUAAAGCCCUUUUGUUGGGAAAGAAAAGCAGCAGGUUAAUACCCCGCUGUUCUGACGGUACCCAAAGAAUAAGCACCGGCUAACUUCGUG